GAUGAACGCUGGCGGCGUGCCUAAUACAUGCAAGUCGAGCGAACAGAUAAGGAGCUUGCUCCUUUGAAGUUAGCGGCGGACGGGUGAGUAACACGUGGGUAACCUACCUAUAAGACUGGGAUAACUUCGGGAAACCGGAGCUAAUACCGGAUAACAUUUAGAACCGCAUGGUUCUAAAGUGAAAGAUGGUUUUGCUAUCACUUAUAGAUGGACCCGCGCCGUAUUAGCUAGUUGGUAAGGUAACGGCUUACCAAGGCGACGAUACGUAGCCGACCUGAGAGGGGGAGCGGCCACACUGGAACUGAGACACGGUCCAGACUCCUACGGGAGGCAGCAGUGGGGAAUAUGCGACAAUGGGCGAAAGCCUGACGGAGCAAGGCCGCGUGGGUGAAGAAGGCUUUCGGUUCGUAAAACCCUUUUAUGGGGAAAAAAAAACUGUAUAAGAAAACGUCCCCGUUUUGACGGUACCUAAAAAAAAAGCACCGGCUAACUGCGUG
rnacentral:rRNA from 1 species